rnacentral:rRNA from 1 species
GUCUGGUGAUGAUGGCGAAGAGGUCACACCCGUUCCCAUGCCGAACACGGAAGUUAAGCUCUUCAGCGCCGAUGGUAGUCGGGGGUUUCCCCCUGUGAGAGUAGGACAUCGCCAGGC